UUCUUCCCCGUCGAAUCGCCAGGGGGAGAACCGAGAGAAAACAAGGGUCAGAUGGGAGCAGAGCACGGUGGUCGAGAUCGAUAAAAGAGAAAGAAAAGCUUUUCUAUAUUCUUCUUUUUUACUUUCUUUGCUGUUUGUUUCCCCGAUCGAUCCCUCCUUGUCGUGGUCUCCUUCUUGUUUCUUCUUCUUCUUCUCUUUUGUUCUUUGGCUCCCCGGUGGUGGGACUGACGUAACGGCGGAGUAGAAGGAGAGAUGAGAGCGGUGAGCGGCGUUGGACGAUUCGUGGCUCGCCAAAUGCGUGGGCAGCGCCGCCGCCGUCGCAACCAUCGCAGGCCCCUGCGCCCGCAUCGGAGGGUCAGUUGGAGAAUUAUGUAUGGGCGACGCAGGACUUUUCAGAGCUAUAUGCUUUUGUCAUAGUUCUUGCAUGUCUGCUGAGAAAAUUGUUUGCGAGGUAGCCUUAUAAAGAACAUCAGAACCGUGUGAUUGUUAUCGUGUUGCAUGUUUCUUUUAUCUCUCACAUGGAAAGCACUGUCUUCUUCCCAUGAUUCUUCUACAGCAAUCAGGAUCACAGUCAAUUAACCCUGGUGAGACUAUCUGGAGACUGGAACGAGUAUAUCACAUAGGUGCAAGCAAUGCUAAGGGGUAACUGUCAUGUCCUUUGAAAAUAUUUUAUUAAAGAAAAAAUCAAAGACAGGCCAGGUAUUUUUAACUUGUAAUUGGAGAAUUAGUUGUUGUUUUCAAAAUUUUCUUUUUUGGAAUUUUGGGUGAAUCUUUCAUUCAUUUUACAUUUUUACAUAAACAUAUUCUGCAAUUUGCUUCUAACUAGAAUUCUAUCAUUAUGUUUUACUGCAUAAUAGAUGUCCUAACUUCCAUUCUUUCUAUUUCUGAUUUAUGCUUGCAUUUUCUUCCAUGCAAGUACUGCAUAAUCUGAGGCAACAGUUUCAACAAAUGUUCUUGGAGUCAGGUUUAGAACCAAAUUAGUUUUAGACUUACAAUCAGUUUCUCUUGAUAAAGCAAAGCCUGUGCAUUAUAUGUGGCAGUUUUGCAACAUUAUUUCUCCUGAACGAAUAGAUGGAUUACCCAUUUCUUACGUUAGAGUACUCUGCAGCAUGUUAAAUGAGCGUCUGUAAUCUAUGUGAGGUAUCUGAACACUGCUUUGUUCAUGUUGGCCAACUCUACAGUUGUUCGCUUGCUCUGCUUUAAACUAAAUUGUUGGCUCUACUGAAUCAUAUUUAUAUUUAUGCCUCUGAUUGCUCAAGGAUAUAAGCAUCACCCUUCACAAACACAUGGAAAUUGUGUUACUGUAUCCUCUUACACACAUCUGCCAAGUUCUUGCUAGAUCUGAACUUCUAGUAGCUGGCCAUCACUAAGUAUGAAUGUAUGCCCUUAUUAUAGUAGCCUAAUCUGUUUGUUCAUAUACACUCUGGUAAUAGAAUUGCGAGAAAAUAUGGCUGAUUCAAGUCACUUUAGACAGCAUUUCUGGUCAUGUUGGCUUCCUCUUAUCAGACUGGAUGGUGUAGGAAAUAAAAAAUGGAUAAAAUUUUGUGAUCUUAUGAUUCAGAUUGUCAUUCCAUGGCUAUAACAUGGAGUUAGAGCUAUUCUUCGAUUUUGCUUGAUAGAUGUUUAGAUAACAUGUCUGAUUCAGAAGUUUCUUUAUGAUUGAUAGAUGUUUUAUUUUGACAAAUUUAAUAAGCAGUGGACGACAAAUGAAUGUUAUUUAUACUGCCACCAUGAUGCUUCAGAUUAAGCAACUGCAUCCCCCCAAAACGAGGCAUCAAGCUAGAGUAUAUGUAUGAUAAUAAAACUAGCAACUUGUCUUAUAUCAAAUCAAGGAAGUAAAUUUGCAACAUGCAAGCACAUAGCAAGUGAACAUUGGCAUGUAAACUAAUUGAGGACAAGCCUCUAAGCAACUUGAAAUUAUACAGUUUGGAAAUUUUCCUAAGAGUUGUGCAGGAUAGUUACAAUAUAAAGGUACCAUAUUUUGGUACUUGCAGUCUUGGUUUCUCAUUGCACACACUUGUUAGAAUUUUGAAGCAGAUCUUUGUUGCCCUGUGAGUUAGAUUAUGGUACCAGAAGAUAGUGUAUGAGAGUGGUCUGGUGGUUCUUUGACAAAAGAUGUCUUGGUUCCAAAGCUGGUAAUUCUCCAAAUUAAUUUGAUUAUGAUCAUUCCACGAAAAUACAGAUUGUGCCAAAAAGAUUAAAAAUAAAUUUUCUUCUUUUUCUUUAUAAAUUUUUCUUUCUAUUUUUAUUAGAAAAUGAAGAUGAAAUAAUUAUAAUGGAUUUAAAAUGAAAAUUUAUUCUUAGAUAAAUCAAUUAUGAAAUUCUUUUGUAGAGUGUCUGAUAUCUCUUUUACAUCUUCUAUGCGAAAAUAUUCAAUUCUCAUAAGAUCUUCUUGACUCUUAUUCAAAAGGUCCAACAAUGUGUGUAUAUUGGACCUUUUGAGACAAUUAUAGGUCCUGGAAGGUAAUUCUGAUUGGUCAAUAAAAAUACAUUUCUGUACAUUCAAUAUACUCUACGAAUAGAGGAAUACAUAGAGUUGAACAAAGUAAAAUAAGAAAUUGAAAAAUUUUGUUGAAAUUGUUCGUUUGGAAAUUUUCCGAAAAGCUAAUUAUAGGUUCUUUUCUCCAUCGGAACAAUAGGGCCGUUAUGCUUAUUGCUAAACUUGUUGAAGAGAUGAAAUAGAACCAAGGCCUAUCCUUUUGAUCAAAGGUUGAAUCGAUCAUUAGAAGAAGAAUUAGGCCAAAAAUUAGGAUACAUUAUGGGAAAAUGAAACUUCCAUGGAAGAGACCUUGUUGAAUAAUAUUGGGCAACCAGUAACAUCAAGGCAUUUGAUGGAUCUUGGAGCUGUGCAGAACAUAUGGACAAAUUUGUACCGCGCCAUCCAUACACAAAGGUAGGACACGCUGUGCGGUAGAAAUCAAUAAAUAAGGAGCAGGACAACGGAUUGCAGAGGCACAAUUUGGAUGUAUGUAAUCUUUUUACAAGAGAAUCCUCUGAGUUCUGUGCAAGUUAUCAUGCCUGCUCUAUCAAAAAACCAGCCCAUGCAGGCAGUGAAGCAAAGUCCUAUUUGUGUUAGUCCUCAGAAAACUCAUUCAGAUCUAUGAAGGGGAAAAGAAAUUGUCGAUCAUCAUUUGGACAUUGAUGGUGUCAAUCACACCGGAAUGUGUGCAGAUCAAUCUGUUGCCUUGCCAUGUUUCUGGGCCAACAAUUCUGUAAGCCACUUUGGUGAUGUCAGCUGUAAUGACUUCCCAUCUGAAGCAUCUCUAGCUGAUAGGUAUGGUGCUUCAAACAUCGAAUUGAGGCUUGGUCAGCCAUCUCAGGAAUGCCCUAUUUUUGCAAGUUCAUAUUCAACAUGUGUGAUGGAAUUUGGAGCUACCUGUAACUCAGAGAAGCCACAAUUGCAUCAGGAACUAAAGCAACAAGGUAAAACCGAUCAGCGACAUUCUUUUUUUUUUUGGUUUUUGUUCAUGAUUCAGCAUCAUGCCUAAAUGAUCUGGCUUUUUAACUCGUAGAUGACACCUAUUUUUGCAAAUCUAUACGAGUUUCUGGAUUAUUUUUAUACUUAAAUGGAAGAGAGCAUGAGGAUUCUACACCACUUUAUAGGAAUAAAUGAAGUGCAAGUGAAAAUGUAUGAAGUUGCCAUGAUAUUUAGAUUGCAAUGCUGUAUAAUCAUGUAGAGAUUUUCCUCUUAUAGUCAAAAGAUAUGCAGGAACAUCAGUGAAACACUGCAAUUUUAUAUAGAACUGUCAUUUUUAGAAACAAAGUACAAAAUUGUUGUACAUCAUAUACAAUGAAGAGGGUUCAUAUUCAAAUUUGCAAAACAAUUAUUUGAGUUCUUAAUGACCCAAGCUUUUACAUUGGCAUUCAAGUGUUAUGAGGAUGUUUAAUCAUAUCUUCCAAUGUAAGGUGAAAAUAAGGGUUGCAUAUUAUUUAACAAAACCCUCAAUUUUUCAAGAUGCCCGGAAAGGUUUGGGGACUGUAAGUGUAUUACAUCCCAUGCUCUCUUACACACUUCAACUAUAUUCUUCGAUCUUUUGCAACCCAUCUGGUUUAGCAACUUUCACUGACCUAUUGUGGCAUGCCGUUAGCAGUUGGAAUGUCCCGUGCAUCAAUCACAUUGAGAAUUCUCUAUAUGAUUACCUUCUAUAGGAAAUCUUCACUGAAGAUGUACAUUAUCCUAUUAUCUAUUAAUUUUUGGAGUCUCACUGUGCCUAUGGUGAUUGCAACUUUUUAUGGGCUAUGAGUUAGCCAUUGAAAUGUCUUAGCGAUGUCUUUGAUCACUUAAAUGUCUUAGUGUUUUUGUGUUGUCGGAAGUAAUAUAUUCGUUACAAACAAUCAAAGGGAUGGAAGCAUUUGGUAGUACAAAAAUCAGGGAUUCAUGCUUUAGGUCUCUAUGCAUCACAGUUUAUUGCAUGUGGAUCUUUGGUUACUAGCUGCAAACUAAUUUUAACCGCAACCCUCCUACCUCCACCACAACCCUCGUACUUUCACCACGGCCCUCCGCAGCCCUCUUACGUUCACCGCAGCACCCCAUCUUCCCCCCUCUUCCCUCUUUUUCCCUCUUUCCCUCUUCCCAGUUCACUGCUGCUAGGAGUUCAUGUUCACUGCUGCAAUAAUUCGCAGCAGCCCCCCAUCUCCCCCCUCUUCCCUCUUCCCCUCUUCCCUGUCGCAUUAGUUUACUGCUGCAUUAAUUUGCAUGAAUUCAUUGGGUCUGUGCAUUUUUUUGUAUGAAAUCAUUAGGAGGUAGAGGUACUGUGCAUGCAUAAGAUACAGCAACAGCAGCUGCCUUCUUUGCUGUAGUGAAUAAGGAUAAUACGGAUUAUUAUUGCUAUUGCCGUAGUAAUUAGUAUUACUUUUUAGUUUUUGGAUUGACAAACUCAAAAAAGGAUCCUGCAUGAAAGUAUAGUUAUUUAAAGGAUCCUAACAAUUUAAAAUCUUUUGGUGGAAAUAAAGAAAAAUAUAAGGAUGUCUUUGCAAUCAUUGAUAAAAGAUAAGAAUGUCAACUUUAUCAUCCACUACAUUCGGUAGGACAUCUUUUAAACCUAUAAUUCUUUUAUAAGAACCCUUCAAUUGAGUUUGAUUUAGAAAUUGCAACUAGGUUAUAUUAGUGUAUUGCAAGAUUAGUUCCAACAUUGAAGUUCAAGACAAGAUCACAAAUGAGAUAUCAUUAUAUAAGAAUGCUGAGGGUAUGUUUGGAAUUCCUAUGGCAAUAUGAUCAGGGGCGACUAAGUCUUUAGGUGUUUGUAAUUUUAUAUAAUUAACAUUAUGUAAGUUUUAAAAAUAUUUAUUAUUAACAGUUGAACUUAAAUUUGCACCUGAGUGGUAAGGUUUAUUUGGAAAUAUUAUACCAAACUUACGGCGAUUAGUCAUUAAAAUUUUGAGUUUGACUUAUAGUGCUACAGGUUGUGAGCGAAAUUGGAGCGUUUUCGAGAAUGUAAGUAUCUAAGAAUAUUUUAAUUUUAAUUAAUUAUUUAUUUUUUUUAUAUAUUGAUAUAACUAAAUGAAUUCUUAAUUUGUAUUUUAUAUAUGACAGAUUUAUACAAAGAAAAGAAAUCGAUUGGUACGUCGAUGAUUACAUGACCUUGUGUACAUCAAGUAUAAUCAAACAUUAAAAGCUCAUUAUAAUUCAUGAGAUAAGAUUGAUCUGAUAUCAUCAGAUGAUAUAGAUGAUUCAAAUGAAUGGUUGGUGAGGGAAUUGAGUACAAAUUUGGAAAAUGCUGAAGAUGGUCUUGUUUUUUAUAUGAUAAUUUGACAUAGGGAGAUAUAGUAAGGGCUUCAAGAGUUGGAAAAAUAAAGAGUUACACAAGACAACUCCUGAGAACAAAGAUGAAUGCAAAAGCCUCAAGCUCAUCGAUUGCAAUUGUGGAAGAGGAGGAAGAAGCAGAAUAUAAAUCACCUACAGAGGAAGAUGGUAACAAGAUUGAAGAUGAUUUGGAUUUUAAUGAUCUUUUGAUGUUAAUCUUGUUUUAUUUUGUCAGUUUUGCUAUUGGAUAUGAAUAAUGUAGUUUGGUACUUUAAAUGACUGCAAGUUUGAUGUGUUACUUUAGUUGUGUUACAUUAGUUUUAGUUUGAUGUUAAUCUUGUUUUAUUUUGUCA